AAACCCCAUAUAUUAGAGAUACUGCCUGCCCAGUGAUAUAAAAUUUAACGGCCGCGGUAUUCUGACCGUGCAAAGGUAGCGUAAUCACUUGUCUUUUAAAUAAGGACUAGUAUGAACGGCAAAACGAGGACUUAACUGUCUCCUUUAUCCAAUCAGUGAAAUUGAUCUCCCCGUACAAAAGCGGGGAUAACAACACAAGACGAGAAGACCCCAUGGAGCUUAAAACACACAGUCAAUUACAUUUAUCCGACCUAAAUAUGUAAACCUGGCCUCCUGUUUUCGGUUGGGGCGACCACGGAGCAACACCCACCCUCCGAGAUGAUAAGACAUCUCUAAAACCAAGGAAUACACCCCAAAGUAUCAGAAGCUCUGACAAAUUGACCCAAACUUUUGACCAACGAACCAAGUUACCCUGGGGAUAACAGCGCAAUCCUUUCUAAGAGUCCGUAUCAACGAAAGGGUUUACGACCUCGAUGUUGGAUCAGGAUACCCCAGCGGUGCAGCAGCCGCCAAAGGUUCGUUUGUUCAACG
rnacentral:rRNA from 1 species